rnacentral:rRNA from 1 species
UACGGAGGGAGCUAGCGUUGUUCGGAAUCACUGGGCGUAAAGCGCGCGUAGGUGGAUAAGUAAGUCAGGGGUGAAAGCCCAGAGCUCAACUCUGGAAUGGCCCUUGAUACUGCUUGUCUUGAGUGUGGGAGAGGUAAGUGGAAUUCCGAGUGUAGAGGUGAAAUUCGUAGAUAUUCGGAGGAACACCAGUGGCGAAGGCGGCUUACUGGCCCAAUACUGACACUGAGGCGCGAAAGCGUGGGGAGCAAACAGG